UACGUAGGGGGCAAGCGUUGUCCGGAUUUAUUGGGCGUAAAGAGCGUGUAGGCGGCCAGGUAGGUCUGCUGUGAAAACUCGAGGCUUAACCUCGAGCUGUCGGCGGAAACCAUCUGGCUAGAGUCCGGAAGAGGAGAGUGGAAUUCCCGGUGUAGCGGUGAAAUGCGCAGAUAGUCGGGAGGAACACCGAUGGCGAAGGUAGCACUCGUCGGGC
rnacentral:rRNA from 1 species